GAGUUUGAUCCUGGCUCAGAUUGAACGCUGGCGGCAUGCUUUACACAUGCAAGUCGAACGGCAGCACGGGGGCAACCCUGGUGGCGAGUGGCGAACGGGUGAGUAAUGCAUCGGAACGUGUCUUCGAGUGGGGGAUAACGCACCGAAAGGUGUGCUAAUACCGCAUAAUCUCUACGGAGAAAAGCAGGGGAUCGCAAGACCUUGCGCUCUUGGAGCGGCCGAUGCCUGAUUAGCUAGUUGGUGAGGUAAAGGCUUACCAAGGCGACGAUCAGUAGCUGGUCUGAGAGGACGACCAGCCACACUGGGACUGAGACACGGCCCAGACUCCUACGGGAGGCAGCAGUGGGGAAUUUUGGACAAUGGGGGAAACCCUGAUCCAGCCAUGCCGCGUGAGUGAAGAAGGCCUUCGGGUUGUAAAGCUCUUUCAGCCGGAACGAAACGGUCACGGCUAAUACCUGUGACUACUGACGGUAUCGGAAGAAGAAGCACCGGCUAACUACGUGCCAGCAGCCGCGGUAAUACGUAGGGUGCAAGCGUUAAUCGGAAUUACUGGGCGUAAAGCGUGCGCAGGCGGUUUUGUAAGUCAGAUGUGAAAUCCCCGGGCUUAACCUGGGAACUGCGUUUGAAACUACAAGGCUAGAGUGUGGCAGAGGGGGGUGGAAUUCCACGUGUAGCAGUGAAAUGCGUAGAGAUGUGGAGGAACACCGAUGGCGAAGGCAGCCCCCUGGGUUAACACUGACG
rnacentral:rRNA from 1 species